ACGGAGGGUGCGAGCGUUGUUCGGAAUUAUUGGGCGUAAAGCGCACGUAGGCGGCCCGUUAAGUCUCUUGGUGAAAGGCCGGGGCUCAACCCCGAGCAUGCCGGGGAUACUGGGGGGCUGGAGACAGGUAGAGGCCAGCGGAAUUCCGGGUGUAGCGGUGGAAUGCGUAGAGAUCCGGAAGAACACCGGUGGCGAAGGCGGCCUGCUGGGCAGUAGCUGACACUGAGGCGCGACAGCGUGGGGAGCAAACAGGA
rnacentral:rRNA from 1 species